rnacentral:lncRNA from 10 species
GAGGAGCUGGAUUUUGUCUUUCCAGGGCCCGUCCCUGCCACGUGUCCUGCCUUGCCUGUCUGGGGACGGCCGCUGUGCCGCGCCAGGCCCUAGCCCCUGCCUGGGAGCUCCUGAGUGAGUGGAGCCUGGCUCUGGUGCUGUUAUUGCCAACAGAGGUCCCUCCUGGCCAAGCUGACUCAGACCCUGAACCUGGCCUCUGAACUCCAGCCUGGGUGAGAAUGGGACCCCGAAAAAAUAAAAAAAGAGAAGAAAGAAAAAAG